rnacentral:rRNA from 1 species
UAGCUUGCCAUGUUUGUCAGCUAAGUGGCGCACAGGUGAGUAAUGUAUAGCUAAUGUGCCCCAUAGAGGGGGAUAACAGUUGGAAACGGCUGCUAAUACCCCAUACUCCUUCUAUCUUAAUGGUAGUUGGGAAAGUUUUUUCGCUAUGGGAUCGGGCUAUAUGGUAUCAGUUAGUUGGUGGGGUAAUGGCCUACCAAGGCAACGAUCUGUAGCUGGUCUGAGAGGACGAACAGCCACACUGGGACUGAGACACGGCCCAGACUCCUACAGGAGGCAGCAGUGGGGAAUAUUGGACAAUGGGCGAAAGCCUGAUCCAGCAAUGCCGCGUGUGUGAAGAAGGCCUGCGGGUUGUAAAGCACUUUCAGUUGGGAAGAUGAUGACGUUACCAACAGAAGAAGCACCGGCUAAAUCCGUGCCAGCAGCCGCGGUAAUACGGAUGGUGCGAGCGUUAAUCGGAAUUACUGGGCGUAAAGCGCGCGUAGGCGGCUAAGUCAGUCAGAAGUGAAAGCCCCGGGCUCAACCUGGGAAUUGCUUUUGAUACUGCUUAGCUAGAGUUUGGUAGAGGAUAGUGGAAUUCCAGGUGUAGCGGUGAAAUGCGUAGAUAUCUGGAGGAACAUCAGUGGCGAAGGCGACUGUCUGGACCAAAACUGACGCUGAGGUGCGAAAGCGUGGGUAGCAAACAGGAUUAGAUACCCUGGUAG